UUAACACACUCUUUAUAAUUCAUCAUGUGCAAUAGCAACCAAAAGACACUCAAUAGACCACUUACUUUUAAAAACAGCUGGAGUUUYCCACAUUAUUAAUAAACAUUCAAAGCCCAUUUGAAAAUCUCCUAUCGUUGGAGUGYUKCUAUAGUUACCAAGCAUCUCUUGAAAAAUGUCUGUGAGCUUAAAACACAAAAAUACAACCAACAUUGAAAUUUGACUCACAAAUGAGAUGGUUAAGCACUUAUAACCCAACACAAAGGAAAGCUGUUUUCUUCUUAAGGUGGAUCAUAUUUAGUCUAAGACUUUACUGUAAAUUGUGACAAACUGCAGUCUUUGAAAGCCAUCUUGGUCAGUUUGAGAUGAAGAUCAGAUCAUGUUAAACUACAAGAACUGGAGGAAGAGCAUGAGGAACUGAACUCUUCCCUGAUCUCUCUGACAAACCAUUUUGCUCAGGUUCAGUUUAGAUUGAAACAAGUUGUAGCAGCUCCUCAAGAGGAGAAAGAGAAACUAUUGUUGGCCCUGGAGGACUUUGCUUUUCAAGGGUG